rnacentral:rRNA from 1 species
CUCAGGAUGAACGCUAGCUACAGGCUUAACACAUGCAAGUCGAGGGGCAGCAUGGUCUUAGCUUGCUAAGGCCGAUGGCGACCGGCGCACGGGUGAGUAACGCGUAUCCAACCUGCCUUACACUCUUGGACAGCCUUCUGAAAGGGAGAUUAAUACAAGAUGUUAUCAUGAGUAAGCAUUUUCACAUGAUUAAAGGUUUACCGGUGUAAGAUGGGGAUGCGUUCCAUUAGAUAGUAGGCGGGGUAACGGCCCACCUAGUCUUCGAUGGAUAGGGGUUCUGAGAGGAAGGUCCCCCACAUUGGAACUGAGACACGGUCCAAACUCCUACGGGAGGCAGCAGUGAGGAAUAUUGGUCAAUGGACGAGAGUCUGAACCAGCCAAGUAGCGUGAAGGAUGAAGGUUCUAUGGAUUGUAAACUUCUUUUAUACGGGAAUAAACGAAUCCACGUGUGGAUUUUUGCAUGUACCGUAUGAAUAAGGAUCGGCUAACUCCGUGCCAGCAGCCGCGGUAAUACGGAGGAUCCGAGCGUUAUCCGGAUUUAUUGGGUUUAAAGGGAGCGUAGAUGGGUUGUUAAGUCAGUUGUGAAAGUUUGCGGCUCAACCGUAAAAUUGCAAUUGAUACUGGCAGUCUUGAGUACAGUUGAGGUAGGCGGAAUUCGUGGUGUAGCGGUGAAAUGCUUAGAUAUCACGAAGAACUCCGAUUGCGAAGGCAGCUUACUAACCUGUAACUGACAUUGAUGCUCGAAAGUGUGGGUAUCAAACAGGAUUAGAUACCCUGGUAGUCCACACGGUAAACGAUGAAUACUCGCUGUAGGCGAUAUACAGUCUGCGGCCAAGCGAAAGCAUUAAGUAUUCCACCUGGGGAGUACGCCGGCAACGGUGAAACUCAAAGGAAUUGACGGGGGCCCGCACAAGCGGAGGAACAUGUGGUUUAAUUCGAUGAUACGCGAGGAACCUUACCCGGGCUUAAAUUGCAACCGAAUAUGGCGGAAACGCUAUAGCUAGCAAUAGCGGUUGUGAAGGUGCUGCAUGGUUGUCGUCAGCUCGUGCCGUGAGGUGUCGGCUUAAGUGCCAUAACGAGCGCAACCCUUGCCGAUAGUUACUAACAGGUCAUGCUGAGGACUCUGUCGGGACUGCCAUCGUAAGAUGUGAGGAAGGUGGGGAUGACGUCAAAUCAGCACGGCCCUUACGUCCGGGGCUACACACGUGUUACAAUGGGGGGUACAGAGGGCUGCUACCACGCAAGUGGAUGCCAAUCCCAAAAACCUCUCUCAGUUCGGAUUGAAGUCUGCAACCCGACUUCAUGAAGCUGGAUUCGCUAGUAAUCGCGCAUCAGCCACGGCGCGGUGAAUACGUUCCCGGGCCUUGUACACACCGCCCGUCAAGCCAUGGGAGCCGGGGGUACAAGAAGUGCGUAACCGCAAGGAGCGCCCUAGGGU